GUGGGGAAUCUUCCGCAAUGGACGAAAGUCUGACGGAGCAACGCCGCGUGAACGAUGACGGCCUUCGGGUUGUAAAGUUCUGUUAUACGGGACGAAUGGUACGACGGUCAAUACCCGUCGUAAGUGACGGUACCGUAAGAGAAAGCCACGGCUAACUACGUGCCAGCAGCCGCGGUAAUACGUAGGUGGCAAGCGUUGUCCGGAAUUAUUGGGCGUAAAGGGCGCGCAGGCGGCGUCGUCAGUCGGUCUUAAAAGUGCGGGGCUUAACCCCGUGAGGGGACCGAAACUGCGAUGCUAGAGUAUCGGAGAGGAAAGCGGAAUUCCUAGUGUAGCGGUGAAAUGCGUAGAUAUUAGGAGGAACACCAGUGGCGAAAGCGGCUUUCUGGACGACAACUGACGCUGAGGCGCGAAAGCCAGGGGAGCAAACGGGAUUAGAUACCCCGGUAGUCC
rnacentral:rRNA from 1 species